GACGAACGCUGGCGGCGUGCUUAACACAUGCAAGUCGAACGGAAAGGCCUGCUUUCCCUUGUGGAUUGCGGGUACUCGAGUGGCGAACGGGUGAGUAACACGUGAGUGAUCUGCCCCCAACUUGGGUAUAAGCCUGGGAAACUGGGUCUAAUUCCCGAUAGGACUGCAGGGUGGUGCCUGUGGUGGAAAACGAUUUUCUAGUGGUUGGGGAUGAGCUCGCGGCCUAUCAGCUUGUUGGUGGGGUAAUGGCCUACCAAGGCGGCGACGGGUGGCCGGCCUGGGAGGGGGGACGGCGGCAGUGGGACUGAGAUACGGCUCAGACUCCUACGGGAGGCAGCAGUGGGGAAGAAUGGACAAUGGGCGGAAGCCUGAUGCAGCGACGCCGUGUGGGGGAUGACGGGCUUGGGGUUGUAAGCUCCUUUCGAAAGAGAGGAAGCCACGUGGUUGGAAGGGUGGUGACGGUAGUGGUAGAAGAAGCACCGGCUAACUACGUG
rnacentral:rRNA from 1 species